GGAGAGGUGGCCGAGUGGCUGAAGGCGUCAGUCUCGAAAACUGGAGUACUCGCAAGGGUAUCGAGGGUUCGAAUCCCUCCCUCUCCGCCA
rnacentral:tRNA from 3 species